rnacentral:rRNA from 1 species
AUGGGGGAACCCUGAUGCAGCCAUGCCGCGUGUGUGAAGAAGGCCUUCGACGUUGUAAAGCACUUUCAGUUGUGAGGAAAAGUUAGUAGUUAAUACCUGCUAGCCGUGACGUUAACAACAGAAGAAGCACCGGCUAACUCCGUGCCAGCAGCCGCGGUAAUACGGAGGGUGCGAGCGUUAAUCGGAAUUACUGGGCGUAAAGCGCACGCAGGCGGUUUGUUAAGCUAGAUGUGAAAGCCCCGGGCUCAACCUGGGAUAGUCAUUUAGAACUGGCAGACUAGAGUCUUGGAGAGGGGAGUGGAAUUCCAGGUGUAGCGGUGAAAUGCGUAGAUAUCUGGAGGAACAUCAGUGGCGAAGGCGACUCCCUGGCCAAAGACUGACGCUCAUGUGCGAAAGUGUGGGUAGCGAACAGGAUUAGAUACCCUGGUAGUCCACACCGUAAACGCUGUCUACUAGCUGUGUGUGACUUUAAG